rnacentral:snRNA from 1 species
UUGCUUCAGCAGCACAUAUACUAAAAUUGGAAUGAUAGAGACAAUUAGCAUGGCCCCUGCACAAGGAUGGGACACAAAUUCACGAAGUGUUACAUAUUUUU